rnacentral:rRNA from 1 species
AACGAACGCUGGCGGCGUGCCUAACACAUGCAAGUCGUGCGAGAAAGUUCCUUCGGGAGCGAGUAAAGCGGCGCACGGGUGAGUAACACGUAGGUAACCUGCCCCCCAGUCUGGAACAACUAGAGGAAACUCUAGCUAAUGCCGGAUGAGACCACGAUCCCUUCGGGGGUUGCGGCCAAAGAUGGCCUCUACUUGUAAGCUAUCGCUGAGGGAUGGGCCUGCGGGCCAUUAGCUUGUUGGUGAGGUAACGGCUCACCAAGGCUGUGAUGGCUAGCUGGUCUGAGAGGAUGACCAGCCACACUGGGACUGAGACACGGCCCAGACUCCUACGGAGGCAGCAGUGGGGAAUAUUGCGCAGUGGGCGAAAGCCUGACGCAGCGACGCCGCGUGGGUGAUGAAGGCC